AGUCAAGUAAUUAAGUGCAUGUGGUGGAUGCCUUGGCAGUCAGAGGCGAUGAAAGACGUGAUAGCCUGCGAAAAGCUCCGGGGAGGCGGCAAAUAUCCUUUGAUCCGGAGAUGUCUGAAUGGGGGAACCCACCUACUUUAAGGUAGGUAUUGCAACAUGAAUACAUAGUGUUGCAAGGCGAACGAGGGGAAGUGAAACAUCUCAGUACCCUUAGGAAAAGAAAUCAAUUGAGAUUCCCUCAGUAGCGGCGAGCGAACGGGGAUCAGCCCAUUAAGUUAUGUGUGUUUUUAGUGGAACGCUCUGGGAAGUGCGAACGUAGAGGGUGAUAUUCCCGUACACGAAAGGGCACACAUAAUGAUGACGAGUAGGGCGAGGCACGUGAAACCUGUCUGAAUAUGGGGGGACCAUCCUCCAAGGCUAAAUACUCCUGACUGACCGAUAGUGAACCAGUACCGUGAGGGAAAGGCGAAAAGAACCCUGUGAGGGGAGUGAAAUAGAUCCUGAAACCGCAUGCAUACAAGCAGUGGGAGCACCUUCGUGGUGUGACUGCGUACCUUUUUGUAUAAUGGGUCAGCGACUUAUAUUCAGUAGCGAGGUUAACCGUAUAGGGGAGCCGUAGAGAAAUCGAGUCUUAAUAGGGCGUUUAGUUGCUGGGUAUAGACCCGAAACCAGGCGAUCUAUCCAUGAGCAGUUGAAGGUUGGGUAACACUAACUGGAGGACGAACCACUGUCGUUGAAAAGCCAGGGGAUGACUUGUGGAUAGGGUGAAAGGCUAAUCAAGCCUGGUGAUAGCUGGUUCUCCCCGAAAGCUAUUUAGGUAGCGCCUCGGACGAAUACCAUAGGGGGUAGAGCACUGUUUCGGCUAGGGGUCAUCCCGACUUACCAAAACCGAUGCAAACUCCGAAUACCUAUGAGUACUAUCCGGAGACAGACUGCGGGUGCUAACGUCCGUAGUCAAGAGGAAAACAAUCCAGACCGCCAGCUAAGGCCCCAAAAUCAUAGUUAAGUGGGAAACGAUGUGGGAAGGCAUAGACAGCUAGGAGGUUGGCUUAGAAGCAGCCACCCUUUAAAGAAAGCGUAAUAGCUCACUAGUCGAGUCGGCCUGCGCGGAAGAUGUAACGGGGCUAAAACUAUGUGCCGAAGCUGCGGAUGUAUACUUGUAUACGUGGUAGGGGAGCGUUCUGUAAGCCGAUGAAGGUGUGUUGAGAAGCAUGCUGGAGGUAUCAGAAGUGCGAAUGCUGACGUGAGUAACGACAAAACGGGUGAAAAACCCGUUCGCCGAAAGACCAAGGGUUCCAGUCCAACGUUAAUCGGGGCUGGGUGAGUCGACCCCUAAGGCGAGGCCGAAAGGCGUAGUCGAUGGGAAAAUGGUUAAUAUUCCAUUACUUCUGUGUAAUGCGAUGAGAGGACGGAGAAGGCUAAAUCAGCCUGGCGUUGGUUGUCCAGGUGAAAGGAUGUAGGCAUGUAUCUUAGGCAAAUCCGGGGUACUCUAUGCUGAGAUCUGAUAGCAAGCUGUACUUGUACAGCGAAGUGGUUGAUGCCAUGCUUCCAGGAAAAGUCUCUAAGCUUCAGUUACACAGGAAUCGUACCCGAAACCGACACAGGUGGUCAGGUCGAGUAGACCAAGGCGCUUGAGAGAACUCUGCUGAAGGAACUAGGCAAAAUGGUACCGUAACUUCGGGAGAAGGUACGCUGUUGUUGGUGAUGGAACUCGCUUCCUGAGCUGACGACAGCCGCAGAAACCAGGCCGCUGCAACUGUUUAUUAAAAACAUAGCACUCUGCAAACACGAAAGUGGACGUAUAGGGUGUGAUGCCUGCCCGGUGCUGGAAGGUUAAUUGAUGGGGUUAGCGUAAGCGAAGCUCUUGAUCGAAGCCCCAGUAAACGGCGGCCGUAACUAUAACGGUCCUAAGGUAGCGAAAUUCCUUGUCGGGUAAGUUCCGACCUGCACGAAUGGCAUAAUGAUGGCGGCGCUGUCUCCAGCAGAGGCUCAGUGAAAUCGAAAUCGCUGUGAAGAUGCAGUGUACCCGCGGCUAGACGGAAAGACCCCGUGAACCUUUACUGCAGCUUGACACUGAACUUUGACCUUACUUGUGUAGGAUAGGUGGGAGGCUUUGAAGCUGGAACGCUAGUUCCAGUGGAGCCGUCCUUGAAAUACCACCCUGGUAAUGUUGAGGUUCUAACUCUGUCCCGUGAUCCGGGACGAGGACCGUGUCUGGUGGGUAGUUUGACUGGGGCGGUCUCCUCCUAAAGAGUAACGGAGGAGUACGAAGGUGCGCUCAGCGUGGUCGGAAAUCACGCGUAGAGUAUAAAGGCAAAAGCGCGCUUAACUGCGAGACCCACAAGUCGAGCAGGUACGAAAGUAGGUCUUAGUGAUCCGGUGGUUCUGUAUGGAAGGGCCAUCGCUCAACGGAUAAAAGGUACUCUGGGGAUAACAGGCUGAUACCGCCCAAGAGUUCAUAUCGACGGCGGUGUUUGGCACCUCGAUGUCGGCUCAUCUCAUCCUGGGGCUGAAGCAGGUCCCAAGGGUAUGGCUGUUCGCCAUUUAAAGAGGUACGCGAGCUGGGUUUAGAACGUCGUGAGACAGUUCGGUCCCUAUCUACCGUGGGCGCUGGAAAUUUGAGAGGAUCUGCUCCUAGUACGAGAGGACCAGAGUGACGAACCUCUGGUGUACCGGUUGUGACGCCAGUCGCAUCGCCGGGUAGCUAUGUUCGGAAGGGAUAACCGCUGAAAGCAUCUAAGCGGGAAGCCUACCUCAAGAUAAGAUUUCCCUAGGACUUUAUGUCCUCUAAAGAGCCGUUCGAGACUAGGACGUUGAUAGGUUGGAUGUGGAAGCAUAGUGAUAUGUGAAGCUGACCAAUACUAAUUGCUCGUGAGGCUUGACUAU
rnacentral:rRNA from 1 species